rnacentral:tRNA from 1 species
AAACAUAGAAGUAAAAUAAAAAUUACAAUUAGUUUCGACCUAAUAUAAGAGAAAAUAACUCCAUGUUUA